rnacentral:rRNA from 1 species
CAGCCGCCGCGGUAAAACCAGCACCUCAAGUGGUCAGGAUGAUUAUUGGGCCUAAAGCAUCCGUAGCCCGUUUUGUAGUUUUCGGUUAAAUCCAUGCGCUUAACGUAUGGGCUGCCGGGAAUACUGCAUAACUAGGAAGUGGGAGAGGUAGACGGUACUCGGUAGGAAGGGGUAAAAUCCUUUGAUCUAUUGAUGACCACCUGUGGCGAAGGCGGCCUACCAGAACACGUUCGACGGUGAGGGAUGAAAGCUGGGGGAGCAAACCGGAUUAGAUACCCGGGUAGUCCCAGCUGUAAACUAUGCAAACUCAGUGAUGCAUUGGCUUAUGGCCAAUGCAGUGCUGCAGGGAAGCCGUUAAGUUUGCCGCCUGGGAAGUACGUACGCAAGUAUGAAACUUAAAGGAAUUGGCGGGGGAGCAC